GACGAACGCUGGCGGCGUGCUUAACACAUGCAAGUCGAACGGAAAGGCCCUGCUUUUGUGGGGUGCUCGAGUGGCGAACGGGUGAGUAACACGUGAGUAACCUGCCCUUGACUUUGGGAUAACUUCAGGAAACUGGGGCUAAUACCGGAUAGGAGCUCCUGCUGCAUGGUGGGGGUUGGAAAGUUUCGGCGGUUGGGGAUGGACUCGCGGCUUAUCAGCUUGUUGGUGGGGUAGUGGCUUACCAAGGCUUUGAAGGGUAGCCGGCCUGAGAGGGUGACCGGCCACAUUGGGACUGAGAUACGGCGCAGACUCCUACGGGAGGCAGCAGUGGGGAAUAUUGCACAAUGGGCGGAAGCCUGAUGCAGCAACGCCGCGUGCGGGAUGACGGCCUUCGGGUUGUAAACCGCUUUCGCCUGUGACGAAGCGUGAGUGACGGUAAUGGGUAAAGAAGCACCGGCUAACUACGUG
rnacentral:rRNA from 1 species